rnacentral:siRNA from 1 species
UAACAAAUCUGGUGUUUUACAACA